GUGCCAGGCACAGGUGACAUCCAGAGGGUGCCACCAGUCCGUCCCUGCUGCCCAGGCUGGGCACCAGCAGGCUGGUGACUGUCCCUGAGUUUGCUCUGCAGGAUGAGGAAGCCACCCUGGUGAGGAGGAAGAGGAGGUGUGGGAGGAUGGAGACAGCGGCCACCAAAGGCUGGGGAAGGCCCAGGUCCAUGUAGGAGUUGCUGCCUUCCAAGGAGAGGGACUUGUCUGUCCCAUUGGAAUUUGGAGUGUGAGGCCAAUGGAACAAAGGAUUUGAUUACAUUUUCCUACUCAGGUUCUCAUUUGUCUUAGGAGGUAUUUGUGGAAAUGUAAUUUUAGUGAGUUUGCACCAGGUUUGAAGGAAUGUGACCCCUGGGGCAGAAAUCCCUGCACAGCUUCUGUGUCCCCCCAUGGCUCAUCUGAACAGUCCAUGGGCUGGGCCUCCUUCUUCAGGCUCUGGAUGAAAUCCUUCCUUUCCCAAGGGAGGGGAAAGCAAGCAGGAUGGGAACCAGAGGUGGUGCUUUAGGAAAGCCCCUCCAGCCUGGGAAGGAGCUUUUGGCUCCAGACACGUUCCCAGUGCCCAGGAGCAGCAGGACCUGUGCUGUUCCCAGCAGGUGAGGCAGAGGUGCCUUUCCUUCCUUCCCUGCUGCACUUUGGCUUUUUGAGGAGUCUCUGGGGGUCUGAGGGAGAAGUUCUUUGUCACUCCAGGGCAGAAUUAGCCCUGGUCCCACUAAAAGCAGGAGGAAUCAUUUUAUCCUUGCUUUUGGAUACACAUUUUGUGAUUUCUCUCUGUUGCUGACACCGUGUGGUGAAGCAGCACCUCCCACAUUUUCAGUGCUGCUCCCAGAUUUGUUCAUAGCUGGUAAAAAGAAACAGUAAUUUGCUUUCCUGUGGUAAUUGGAUUAAGGACAAGGCCUCCCUCUUUGUUUAAUAUUCCAGAGAAAAGCUGCCAAGUAAUAAAGCAAGAGCUUCCCCUGGUGAAACCUUUCCCAGUCCCACGCUGGGUUUGCACACACACAAGGCUCCAUCCCUGCUGGAAUCCCAGUCACAGCCCCCAGAUCAAUGGGCCCUUUAAGGUCUCACAGCCUGACCAGGACAAUCUCCUGCCUCUGGACAUGGAAAAUCAGUUUUUCAUUGUUACAGCACCGGCUCCAGAAUCCUCUGAGGCUGAAACAAAGACAUGGAACCUUCUGAGAUGGAAAGAGCCAAAGUGAGUUGUUGUGGGAAAGGAAAAUUAAAGAUGGUAGGUGCUGAAACCUUUGUUCUUCCUGACCUCUGUACUUGACCUCUGUACCUGGGAAUGGGUCUGGAAAUUUCCUGGAGACGCUGGAGAAUGAUCCCUGGUCUGCUGAAACGUGGGAAAAUCCCACUGGCAAUUGCAGUCUCUGAGGGAGGGCAAAAAGAGCAGGACCUCAGUCUGUGAGUGUGUGAGAAAUAAGGGAGGGACAAAUGUCUGGAUCAUCCUGAGCCUCAGGGCACCAGGAAAAGCCCUUGACUGAAAAACUGAAGUGCUGUUCCACAGGCACCCUGGGAAUUUGGCUCAUCCCAGCUUCUCUUCCAGAGCUGGAGGAACGCCCCACAGUGCUGUUUGAGACCUUCCUGACUGGAAUUGGGGCCAGCUGGGCACUUUCCUGUUUUCC
rnacentral:lncRNA from 1 species